rnacentral:rRNA from 1 species
AUGAGCACUAGGUGUUGGUCCUUCGGGAUCAGUGCCGCAGCUAACGCAUUAAGUGCUCCACCUGGGGACUACGGCCGCAAGGCUAAAACUCAAAGGAAUUGACGGGGACCCGCACAAGCGGUGGAACAUGUGGUUUAAUUCGAUGCUACGCGAAGAACCUCACCAAGGCUUGACAUGCUCGUCGUAUCUCUCUGAAAGGAGAGAGUCGGUUAGGCCGGACGAUGCACAGGUGCUGCAUGGCUGUCGUCAGCUCGUGUCGUGAGAUGUUGGGUUAAGUCCCGCAACGAGCGCAACCAUUGCCCCAUGUUGCUACCACACUUUUAAUCUUCGGAUUAUGGUGUGCGCACUCUUGGGGGACUGCCUGGGAUAACCAGGAGGAAGGUGGAGAUGACGUCAAGUCAGUACGGCCCUUAUGCCUUGGGCUACACACGUGUUACAAUGGACGGUACAGAGGGUUGCCAACCCGCGAGGGGGAGCUAAUCUCAAAAAGCCGUCCUCAGUUCGGAUUGGAGUCUGCAAUUCGACUCCAUGAAGCCGGAAUCGCUAGUAAUGGGAGAUCAGCUCGCUCCCGUGAAUACGUUCCCGGGUCUUGUACACACCGCCCGUCAAGCGAUGAAAGCCGGGGGUACCCGAAGUCCUAUGUAGAUAGGCCGAAGGUAAAAUCGGUGAUUGGCGCUAAGUCGUAACAAGGUAACCGUA